ACACCCUAAAAGUUGGGUCCGGCGCCCCAAAGAUGGCCAUGCGGGCCAGAGCCAAGCUGUGGCCCAAGGGCUCCCAGCGUCUCCCCCAAGAGAGAACCCCCGGACGGGCAGGAACUCGGCACCCUGCUCCACGCCCUCAACCCCAGGCCCUCUUGGCCUUAGCAGCCUCCGGGGAAGGAUGGCAGCACCCGGACCCCAGCCCGCCCCCCAAAAAAAGGAAACCAGUUGACAGUUAGACACCCUCAAACGAGGCUCCUCCCCAACACAGAGCAUCACAUUGUUCAGAAGUGACAGGAUGAGACUCGCCUGAGACUCCAGGUGCCCCUGCAGCGUUGCACGUGCCCGCCUAGCUCACUCCUAAAAGUGGACACACCCCCCACAGCCUUGCUGAGAACUCUCCCUGGGAAGGCCAUCUGUGUCCGGAAAAUCCUUGAGUCCAGGAUGCUCCAAGAUGGGCAGGAAGCCCCCGGGAAGUGCCCUGGGGUGCGGGAUUCCUUCCUGCCCCUCCCCCCACCACCCUGCCCAGAACACUCCGACCACGAGCACAGCAGAAGCCCAGCUCUUCCCAACCCCACAGCUUCACAUUGUCUCAUGUGUCCCUGACGCUGACCCAGCAGGGCCUGGCUGAGCCUCUGACUUCACCCUGCAGGGAGAGUAAUGAUGAACCUGCUGGGGCCCUUCCUGGACCCUCCCAAGGUCAGGGUCUCGGGACCUUCCCUGAGGCUGUCCCAAGGCUGUCAUCUCAGUCAGGUGUAACCAGGCAGCACGGUGUGGCUGGGGUCGUCCUCAGCCGUGGGCACUGCUGGGUGCGGCACAGCCUCCUCCAGUGUCUUUGGCCCAAGAGGGGACUCAAUGACCCACCAGGGUCCCCUGUGGGGUGGCCCCAGGCCCUCUGUAAAUGAGAUACAGCAGGAACAGCUGCCCCAGGCUCUAGGGUUUUUAUGGGUUUGCCUUAAAGAUUUUAUUUCCAGAAAAAACCAAAAGCAAUUAAUCCAAAUUACAGAGUAGUCAUUUGCAAUAAUAUUUGCUUUAAAUAUAUGUAUUUUUUAAAACCCCUAAGCUGUGAGCUGCCAGUGAGUUCGGGGUGAAGGACACCUUGAAAUAAUUAAAUUUUUUGCUCAUUUUAUGUUGUGAAAAUGGCUUAGUCGGUUUGGGGAAGAAUUGUAAAAUGGUCAGCUGACUCACUUAUAAAGGCAACGUUAUUUUUUUCUCCAGAUUCUGCCAGAAUAACCACACUGCCUUGGAGGUGGAUUUCUUCCAAAGGCAUCUCAAGCACUGGUCCAGCUGCCUCUCACCCCAGUCCUUUGCAUUUAGGGGAGCAACCCCCCUCCCAGAGGCGCUCCGGGUGGGUGGCAUUGGGGGACCAGGAGGACGAGGGUCCAGCGUGGUGGGGUCCAGGUACUGGCAGACAGGCUGACCCCUCCUCAGGUGGGUGGGAGGGAGGGACUCGGGUUCACCUGCCCCCUUUGCCUCAGGGAUGACCAGGACCUUGCCCCUGGAGUGAGCAUAGCACAGAGAGGGGCAGCCCAGCCCAGCUCAGAUGCUCUGGCCAACGAGCGCACCUGGUGAGAGGCGUGGACACUUGGGAAAUGAGAAUUCAUGGAAAGAUUAGAUUGUGCUUAGUACGACGUCAGAACCCUCGACCAUGCUGGGUCAGAACACCUGGCUUUGGUGCUAGGACAGCCCCUGCGUGUCCAGGAGCCUCAGGCAGGAGCCUUCCUGCACCUGUUCCCCCGGACAGUUUCCCCUUCCACAUCUCCUCUCCAGGCGUGUGACUUGCAGACACCUGCUCCCGGAAUCUGACCUGCCUUUCCAUUUGCUCAGCAGUGCCUUUUGAAGAACAAACUUCUUAACGAUAGCAAAUUAAAAUUUAAACAAUUUUUAA